rnacentral:rRNA from 1 species
UACGAAGGGGGCUAGCGUUGCUCGGAAUCACUGGGCGUAAAGGGUGCGUAGGCGGGGCUUUAAGUCAGGGGUGAAAUCCUGGAGCUCAACUCCAGAACUGCCUUUGAUACUGAAGAUCUUGAGUUCGGGAGAGGUGAGUGGAACUGCGAGUGUAGAGGUGAAAUUCGUAGAUAUUCGGAAGAACACCAGUGGCGAAGGCGACACACUGGCCCGUAACUGACGCUGAGGCGCGAAAGCGUGGGGAGCAAACAGG